CAAAUCCUCCCAUAUUAUUACAAAAUUACCCCUUAAAAAUUACAAACUUAAUUUAAAUAUGGUGCACAUUUGUUAACACAUAUUUUGGUAUGGGGUAUUUUUUAGACAAGAAUGUAGGUUAUGCAUGGGACUAAAAAAAUAUUCUGCAUAAAAAUAUUUGUCCAAAAAUAUGAACCACAAAUUUAAAUUGAAUUUGUAAUUUUUAAGGGAAAAUUUGGUAAUAUUGUGGGAGGUUUUGGAUAUCGUGGAAAGACCGGAAUAGCACGAGUACACCCAGAACAGAUUCACAAGGUUAUCAGGGAUAACGCCAGUCAAAUCUGGUCAGCUAGGGACCCAGAAUUUUGCGGAUAAGGAAAAAUGCCGGGAACUUGGCUUAGCCGGCUAGCAGUCCUGACCUAAAUCCCAUGAAGAAUUUUUGGGCCAACUUCUCGCGUCGGGUGGGCGUCAAUUUCGAACCAAAAAGGGAUUGGAGCAAAUGAUGCAUGGCGGAUGGGCAAAUAUCCUGCUGGAGACCCUUCAGCACUUCAAUAACUCAAUGAAGCGACGAAUAUUCGCGUUAAUUCUAGCUAAGAAAGGUUUUACCAAAUACUAGAAUAAGUUUCAAGGGUACUGACUCCCUUAAAAUUAACUUAUAAAAUGUUUAAAUUUCAUAUCUCUUACUUUUGAGACAGUCGAUUUUGACUAAUUUUGUAAGAUUGCAUAUAAAUUUCUUGAUUUAAGUCAAAUCUCAAUGAAACUUGGCAUGAACUUGUAGCAAUACCUGAGCUAUAUUAUAAUAAAACUUUGGGCCCCAGGACCAAGCUAUUAAGAAAUAGUAGAAUUUUCCAAAACUAUCUCUUCAUUUUGAGACAGACUAUAUAUAUAAUGUUGCACAUGUGUAUGGAAAUCUGGAGUCCAAAUAAUGACUCUCCUGUCAUACUAAUGAUAUAUCAUAAUAUGUACCGAGAAAUGUAUAAAGCGAUGCGCGUAAUUUAUCUUUAAUCCUUUACGAUUUAUUUAAAAUGAUUGAAUUAUGUAGAUAUUAUUAAUUUAAGUUUUCCAUAUUUUGAGCUGAUGCAUACGUCAAUUUAGCUUGAUUGAUUGAUUGAUUGAAGUUUUUAUUAAUGGUGUCGUACGAGCGUCAGCACAAGUGCUGGUUUUCAGCCCUGGACACCCAGCGACAAUCUCAAAUAAAAUUUGAACUAAUACAAUGUUCUAUAACUAUAAACUAAAUAAUACAUACAGUUGCUUUUACACUGUUUCACGAAGACUUAAAACAUAAUCUUUAACAGAGUCACAAAACGUUGAGAGAACUAUGUUGCGAACUCUGGCUAUUCUUCUGGUUAUCGCAACCAUCUGCAUUUCCACCAGCGAGGGAGCUGUAUGUUGGUGCAAUAUGUUCCAACUGAUAUUCGGACUCUGUGGAUGUUUGUCCACUACCACAGCUGCGACGACCACGGCUGCAACAACCACGGUAGCAACGACCACUGUUGCUGGUGGUUAAGCAAUUUGAUAGUCUCCGCGUCCACUAAAUUCUGAUCAUUCAAAAACGAAACAAUAAAUCUAACCAAUAUUGCA